rnacentral:rRNA from 1 species
UACGUAGGGCGCAAGCGUUGUCCGGAAUUAUUGGGCGUAAAGAGCUCGUAGGCGGCUUGUCACGUCGGAUGUGAAAGCCCGGGGCUUAACCCCGGGUCUGCAUUCGAUACGGGCAGGCUAGAGUGUGGUAGGGGAGAUCGGAAUUCCUGGUGUAGCGGUGAAAUGCGCAGAUAUCAGGAAGAACACCGAUGGCGAAGGCAGAUCUCUGGGCCGUAACUGACGCUGAGGAGCGAAAGCAUGGGGAGCGAACAGG